rnacentral:lncRNA from 1 species
GUGAUCCACCAGCCUCGGCCUCACAAAGUGCUGGGAUUACAGGUAUGAGCCACCACGCCCAGCCUGCAAACAUAUGUUGAACUCUUUGCACAGUGCCCUGCAUGAGAUAGAUGACAGCUCCUUCUUCCAUGUUGUUAAUUUGGUGUGAGUAUAUGUUAUAUGUAUGUAUAUGCAAGAUAAUAAUCUUCUUGUAACCACUGACAGGCCUUUUUGUGAAUGAUGAUGGAAAAAGCAAGAACCUUGUCCAGGUUCCUCUCCAGGGAGCAGGGGUGGGUUGUGAUUCUUGAUUUCAUUCCUUUAGAUAUGAAGAGUUUUCACACAGAGGCAGCACGAAUUUGUCUCUCUCCUAGAGGGUGGGGAGAGUUGCUGGGUGGAUAUAACUGCAUCACAGCCUUUCUGGGUAAACUGGCCACUCCCUACUGAUUUGUUAUCAUGCUAAAUGUGUCUCCUCCCUUCCUUUCUGGAGCUUUUGCAGCUGUUCCUGGAAGGAGACCCAGUUGAAAGGGGUUGUUAUGGACCAGGAACAGCUGGGAUCUUUAAUGAUCUGUGAGCAGCUUACAGCAAAGUUCCAACACCCUGAGUAUCAGUCCCCAAAUCCUUGGUCUUUGCAUUCCAACACAAAGUAAAAAGGAUUGAGCAGGGUUUUGGUUUUGGUUGCAAGUAACAGAAACCCAACGCUAAUUAAUAAACGGGAAAGUGUGUCAGUGGAAAUGUAAGUAAGAAGAGAUUUCAUUUACUGGCCAAUUCAAAAGAUGACAAGCUUUAGGCGUGGCUCAGUCCAGUGGCUCAUGAUGUCUUCAGGACUCAGUGUUUCUCUGUUGUCAUCUCUUAGUUCUAUUAUUUUUUCUGUGUUGGUUCAUUAUGAGGUUUCCUUUAGAGGGUGGCAGAGAAAGCCACUAGUUGCUUCAAGUCUUUAUUUUACCAGCUCCACAAGUCCGACGGAAAGAGAAAACUGCUUUCCCAAAGGGUGUAAGAGGAUGAAAGGCAUGUCAUCAGCUGAAUUGCAUCAGGUGUCCAUCUUGGAAUCAAUCACGGUGCCUCUUAUUAGCAAAGCCUGAGUCAUAGCCAGCAAGAAAACAGGGACCUUAAUCUUACGACCACAAGGAACUGGACUCUGCUACCAGAAUGAGCUGCAAGGGAGAUUCUUCCUCAGAAGCUUCAGAUAAGAACUCCACCUGGCUGACCUUUGAUUUUGGUUUUGUGAGAACUUUGGCAGAUAACCCAGGCAUGUGUCAUUUCACAUCUGCAUAAAAAGACAUGCUGAAGGAUGUUCCUUGCAGAAUGGUUAUAGAGAAAAAUGGGAAUAACCACGAUAUAAAGUAACAGGAUUUCAACAGUGAAGGAGACCUGAGAAACCAUAAAAUCAAUCUCUCAAAUUGAAGUUGAAAAAAGCAAAUCAUCUCUCACACCCACCCUGAUUGGUAAUAAUUAACUUGGCAAUACUUCAGUUACUCUUUCAUUAAGCAGUUCUCCUAGAUAUCGAAUUUAUGUUAGUUUAUUUAUUGGAUUCAUCCUAAGCAUUCAAGGUACUUUUGAAGGAUAUGAGGCAAACUGUUAGCAUCAUUUAACAUUUAUUGAAUUGUAGCAUCCACAUAACUUAGAGCAGACACAAGACUUAAUGAGAAAAGCAAGACAUUAUUCCUGUUUUAUAGAGAGUAACCAAGGCCAACAGGUAGAAAGAAGACUUGCCCAAAGUCAGACAGAAAAUGUUGAGAGGAGAUUAGGACCCACUUAGGUUAUUUUUGGUAGAUUGCUCUUUUCACUUAUACAUAGCUGAGUUUGCCAGGAAUAAAGAAAAUAUACUGAACAUGAACAGUUAAUUGAGAUGCUUAAGCGUAAACACAUGGAGGGGUGGUAGGUAAGCGCUUGUGUUGACUCAGCCAUCAUUCUGUUUGUGUGUGCCAAUCAGUCUCUGCCAGUUGGUAUCAGUCAUUAUCCAAUGAGAGAAAUGAGAGCUAGGAAAAGGGGAGUGAGCCCCGAUUAUCUUUUAUAAGUAUAUAAAUUGAUGGCUAUGGUAGGAUUUUUCUCAAUGUGGAAACUCGAAGUUCUGUGCCUAAGUUUUAUUUCAAGAAACAUUUUGUUUGUGUCAAUAGAUCCAGAGCCAAUGGGUUCAUUUAAAACUCUCUUUCAUGAUGGCAAUGAAUAAAAGAGGAUCCUAGACCAUCAGAAGAUUUUAGCCUUGGAGCUCCCCACCGUCCUAACACACACAGAUAGAGCUGGCUCCGAACUCUGCUGCUUCCAUGGUCGUGGCUACCUACUACUCUGUUCCUACUUCAUCUUCACUGUGAUUUUUGUCCAUAUGUCAGACUGAAGCAGACUGCUUAGGGCCUUGGGUUGAGGGAGCUUAUAGAACCUUGGGAACCAGGAACCCUUUAGGACCCUGUGAACUACAAGUCUGCUAUUUUAGGAAGUGGAUAAAAUGGCAUUUUGACAGAUCUGGAGGGUCUUGGAUCUACCUUUCAACAUUGGCAUUACUGAUAUUAGAGUACCACCACUCACUAGCUGUGGAGAUGUAGGAAGAUUACUUAACCACUCAGAGCCUUGGUUUCCUCAUUUGUUAUGUGAAGAUGACAAUAUCAGAUGACAGUGAGAUCUGAGAUGAAUUUAACUGCCUUCAGUAGUGCUGGCCUGCUCCUGAGAGAGAGAUGAUUGAGAGGGAGGAAGUAGAGAGGAGGAAGAAGCCUUUACUCACACUCCUUGAGGAGUGAUUCAGGUGGACAGCCUGAAUUACGGGAUUUAUUGGCAGCAAGUAAGUAUUGUCUGAGUGGAUUACUGCAAAAUGCUUUAGCUGGGGAUGGCUUUGAAAACCACUCAUCAAUUACAGAUGGUACCCAGUAUAGCAGCAGGAGUACCCUUGCGGGCUUUUGUUAUCUCCGACCUCUUCCUUCAUGGGUGACCGUUCUAACCCAAAGACCUCAACUGUUCAUCAAAAACCUGCCACUCAGAACUGCAUAUCAAUUAUUAAACAAUGUCCCAUGCAGGACAGUGACUUUAAAUUAUCUUGGAAAUGAUAAAGACCAACAUUUGUCUUUGUUAACAUGCUGAGUGAUUCUGUGGUCUCUAGUCACAGGUGAAAGGAUCAGAUUUGAGAUUUCUAGACACCAGAAUCACAUUAGGGUUAAGCAAAACUCCAUCUUUUCCCAGAGAAAAUUUAGCCAGAAAUGUUGCUUAUUUGAGAUGAGAAGUAAGAUGAAGUGUUCUAACAUGGCGGAGCUUGAUAUGCAAAUGAGCCCAUCUAGGGACAGUAGGGAUUGGUAAUGUGGGUCUGUGGAUGCCUGGAAGGCUCACAGAAAGACUUCAGGAAUUCCUGAGUCUCUUCAAAGUGUAAGCAAAAUUUUGUGUGUAUUUUCUUAUUUGCAUGAUAUGGCUUGGCUGUGUCCCCACCCAAACCUUAUCUCGAAUUGUAACUCCCACAAUUCCCACAUGUCGUGGAAGGAUCCUGGUGGGAUUCAUUAUGGGGGCAGGUCUUUCCAGUGCUGUUCUCAUGAUAGUGAAUGAGUCUCACAAUAUCUGAUGGUUUUAAA